GAUGAACGCUGGCGGCGUGCUUAAUACAUGCAAGUCGAGCGAAUGGAUUGAGAGCUUGCUCUUAUGAAGUUAGCGGCGGACGGGUGAGUAACACGUAGGUAACCUGCCCAUAAGACUGGGAUAACUCCGGGAAACCGGGGCUAAUACCGGAUAACAUUUUGAACCGCAUGGUUCGAAAUUGAAAGGCGGCUUCGGCUGUCAAUUAUGGAUGGACCCGCGUCGCAUUAGCUAGUUGGUGAGGUAACGGCUCAUCAAGGCAACGAUGCGUAGCCGACCUGAUAGUGUGAUCGGCCACACUGGGACUGAGACACGGCCCAGACUCCUACGGGAGGCAGCAGUAGGGAAUCUUCCGCAAUGGACGAAAGUGUGACGGAGCAACGCCGCGUGAGUGAUGAAGGCUUUCGGGUCGUAAAACUCUGUUGUUAGGGAAGAACGAGUGCUAGUUGAAUAAGCUGGCACCUUGACGGUACCUUACCAGAAAGCCACGGCUAACUACGUGCCAGCCGCCGCCGUAA
rnacentral:rRNA from 1 species